GGUUUUGUAGUGUAGCGGUUAUCACUCCGGAUUCUGAUUCAGGCGUCAGAGUCUUCCGGCAACCCCGGUUCGAUUCCGGGCAAGACCU
rfam:Cochliobolus heterostrophus C5 unplaced genomic scaffold COCHEscaffold_9, whole genome shotgun sequence.